rnacentral:rRNA from 1 species
GACGAACGCUGGCGGCGUGCUUAACACAUGCAAGUCGAACGGAAAGGCCCUGCUUUUGUGGGGUGCUCGAGUGGCGAACGGGCGAGUAACACGUGAGUAACCUGCCCUUGACUUUGGGAUAACUUCAGGAAACUGGGGCUAAUACCGGAUAGGAGCUCCUGCUGCAUGGUGGGGGUUGGAAAGUUUCGGCGGUUGGGGAUGGACUCGCGGCUUAUCAGCUUGUUGGUGGGGUAGUGGCUUACCAAGGCUUUGACGGGUAGCCGGCCUGAGAGGGUGACCGGCCACAUUGGGACUGAGAUACGGCCCAGACUCCUACGGGAGGCAGCAGCGGGGAAUAUUGCACAAUGGGCGGAAGCCUGAUGCAGCAACGCCGCGUGCGGGAUGACGGCCUUCGGGUUGUAAACCGCUUUCGCCUGUGACGAAGCGUGAGUGACGGUAAUGGGUAAAGAAGCACCGGCUAACUACGUG